rnacentral:tRNA from 1 species
GACCCCCAUUGAACUCAAUGGUUUAUCCAAGAUUCCUAAUCUGGGGGUCGUUGGUUCGAAUCCAACUGGGAUCACCA